GAUGAACGCUGGCGGCGUGCCUAAUACAUGCAAGUCGAGCGAACAGACGAGGAGCUUGCUCCUCUGACGUUAGCGGCGGACGGGUGAGUAACACGUGGAUAACCUACCUAUAAGACUGGGAUAACUUCGGGAAACCGGAGCUAAUACCGGAUAAUAUAUUGAUCCGCAUGGUUCAAUAGUGAAAGACGGUUUUGCUGUCACUUAUAGAUGGAUCCGCGCCGCAUUAGCUAGUUGGUAAGGUAACGGCUUACCAAGGCAACGAUGCGUAGCCGACCUGAGAGGGUGAUCGGCAACAAGGGAACUGAGACACGGUCCAGACUCCUACGGGAGGCAGCAGUAGGGAAUCUUCCGCAAUGGGCGAAAGCCUGACGGAGCAAAGCCGCGUGAGUGAUGAAGGUCUUCGGAUCGUAAAACUCUGUUAGUAGGGAAGAACAAAUGUGUAAGUAACUAUGCACGUAUUGACGGUACCUAAUCAGAAAGCCACGGCUAACUACGCG
rnacentral:rRNA from 1 species